AAUUGCAUUCAGUUGUUCAUAGAAAUCUGUAGGUCCAUCCAUUGUUCUGAGAACACCAACAGCUUCUUGACACCUACACAUCCUUUCCUACCCACAGCAUUAAGUUGCGGAUGAAUGGACAGAAACAGCCAUGGAUGUUUGGAUUUAUACAGACCAGAAACAAGAACCCCUUGAGGUUCCGGAGUCGCAGCACCUUUCAUUAGCGCUGGCUCCAGCCCUGCUGUCCGGGCAUCAUUAGCAAUCUCAGAAAUCAGCGGCAGACGACGGGUCAUUCUUCAUCUACCUGUCCGCCACCACGGCCAGCAGCGCUCACCCCAUCCUCCACUCCACUCCUCCACCCAUCCACCCAUCCACGCUCUUGCUGUAUAUAUACAUACAAAUGUACAGAGAGCACACCAGGGCACGAGCGAGAGAGCGAGGACCUGAAUGAACAAGAAAAGAGGAAGACACAGAUUCUCUUCGUUCUCUGAGUAACUCACCUACAGA